AAUUCCGACAGUGAGAGGAACGGCCGGAUACAGGAGACGGGAAGAAACAAGCCGAUUAUGUUCGCGUUAAUUAGGUGGUUGGAAGAUGUAAAAUUCUCAAUUCUGCCAACUGAACAUAUACGAGAUUUUAAUGAGGAUGAAUAAUUAGCCGGCAUGGAGGAAACGGACCUUUAUUUGGUGGAGUGGCGACAAGGAGCCAAAAGGCGGGUGGCCGGUCUAUGAAGCCUCCAUCAUCAAGCUAGCAGCCCAUGAAAUCGAACGCAGAUCUUCCUGAUGUGAGAUUUACAUAAAUAUGUCAAAGUCUCAACCUCAUGCUGCCCUCCCCCAUCCUCCUAAAUUUCAAUGGUGCGUGUUCUCCUAAUGGCCGCCUUCCCACUGGAGGUUUUGAUCCACAGCAAUUUAAAAGGAGGACAAAGCAAAACGGACAUCGGCGCAGAGUGAAGAACUGCCCUUCAUAAGGACACUAUGACAGCCAUAUAUACUUAUUGACAACCACCCUUCAGUGAACAAUAAUUGGAUCAACUGAGGAGCCAGAUGCAUCUCUCGGGUCCUGUGUCAGGUCUUUGCUGGAUUUUUUUCCUAUUUUUUCUGUCUUUUACCUGUCUGGUUUCCUUAGGUUUUUAAAGGAUAUGCUGCAUGAAGAUUCAGAUGCAACUUGUUGGUGCAAAAAUACUAUUUUACAUGCGUCAAACUGUGUUACUGUUGGUAUUUUUCAUAGAUUAAAGUAAAGAAAUGAAAAGAAAUGAUGUGUUUUUGUGACAGGCUGCUGAAGAUACAAUUUAAAAUAUAUAUUUUGUUCUUUUGUUGGAUUUUAUGUGUAGACACAACACUGAUUCAUGCCUCGAGUUAGUGUUUUUAUGCUUGAAUGAUUCACAGGUCAGUGUUAAGUGCUUAACAACAAAAGAGAAGAAGCAUUCCUCUGAAAAUGGUACAUUUCAAGGACUUUACUAUUUUGUCAAAGGCAAAGUGACAAGAACAGGGGAAGGAUUAAGCCUAACCAAUCCAAAGAAAAGAAAUAACUAGGAAAUUAAAUAGAGAGUAAAGAAGUUGGUUUUUUUUUUUAAGAAAUCAGAUCCAUUCACACUAAAUUCAUUCAUUAAACACUUGAAGG